rnacentral:rRNA from 1 species
GAUGAACGCUGGCGGCGUGCUUAACACAUGCAAGUCGAACGGAAAGGCCCAAGCUUGCUUGGGUACUCGAGUGGCGAACGGGUGAGUAACACGUGGGUGAUCUGCCCUGCACUUCGGGAUAAGCCUGGGAAACUGGGUCUAAUACUGGAUAGGACCACUUCUUGGAUGUUGUGGUGGAAAGUUUUUUCGGUGUGGGAUGAGCUCGCGGCCUAUCAGCUUGUUGGUGGGUAAUGGCCUACCAAGGCGUCGACGGGUAGCCGGCCUGGGAGGGUGUACGGCCACAAUGGGACUGGGAUACGGCCCAGACUCCUACGGGGGGCAGCAGUGGGGAAUAUUGCACAAUGGGCGCGAGCCUGAUGCAGCGACGCCGCGGGGGGGAUGACGGCCUUCGGGUUGUAAACUCCUUUCGCUAGGGACGAAGCGUUUUGUGACGGUACCUGGAGAAGAAGCACCGGCUAACUACGUG